ACAACAAAAAAAAACGCUUGGGGCGGCAAAGUGCCGCCCCUUCUAAAUUCAGGUAAGGGGGUGGGGGAGGGUUUUUGGGUAAGUAUGUGUGAUUAAUGUGUGAAGUAUGUGUGAUUAAUGGAAUGAAUGAGUAUUUAAAUGUUUGUGAAUUAUGUGUGAUUA